UACGAAGGGACCUAGCGUAGUUCGGAUUUACUGGGCUUAAAGAGUUCGUAGGUGGUUGAAAUAGUUGAUGGUGAAAUCCCAGAGCUUAACUCUGGAACUGCCAUCAAAACUUUUCAGCUAGAGUAUGAUAGAGGAAAGCAGAAUUUCUAGUGUAGAGGUGAAAUUCGUAGAUAUUAGAAAGAAUACCAAUUGCGAAGGCAGCUUUCUGGAUCAUUACUGACACUGAGGAACGAAAGCAUGGGUAGCGAAGAGG
rnacentral:rRNA from 1 species